GACGAACGCUGGCGGCGUGCUUAACACAUGCAAGUCGAACGGAAAGGCCCUGCUUUUGUGGGGUGCUCGAAUGGCGCACGGGUGAGUAACACGUGAGUAACCUGCCCUUGACUUUGGGAUAACUUCAGGAAACUGGGGCUAAUACCGGAUAGGAGCUCCUGCUGCAUGGUUGGGGUUGGAAAGUUUCGGCGGUUGGGGAUGGACUCGCGGCUUAUCAGCUUGUUGGUGGGGUAGUGGCUUACCAAGGCUUUGGCGGGUAGCCGGCCUGAGAGGGUGACCGGCCACAGGGGGACUGAGAGACGGACGAGACUCCAACGGGGGGCAGCAGUGGGGAAUAGUGCACAAGGGGCGGAAGCCGGAUGCAGCAACGUCGCGUGCGGGAGGAGGGCCUUCUGGGGGUAAACCGCUUUCGCCUGUGACGAAGCGAGAGUGACGGUAAUGGGUAAAGAAGCACCGGCUAACUACGUG
rnacentral:rRNA from 1 species